UUGAAUACACCUGUGCUUUUCCUACUAUGUCAACAUGUCUGCCGCGAAAAAGAGAAACAGGAAGCAGGUUCAGCUAACAGCAGAUGGUUGAGAUUUAGGAUGCUGUACAGCUCAUGGAGGGCUUGAUCUCUGCUGCACGGGUUCAAGGACAGGCCUGUAUUUGUGUCGUAAUGUGCCAUUUUACCUCUGAUUGUGAUUCUUCAUUGACCAACUCAGACAGCAGAUGGCAGUCUAUUCUAAUUAACAAGUGGUGACCUGUUACCACCAGCCCAGGGACAGCGGAUGUAAAAUAGCCUCCAGGCUAAUUCUGGCACAUUUUACUUUUAUGUAUUAUCAGUGUGCAUUGUCCCUGAUAAAUAAACCUGAAAUAAAUUAAAAUAAAAUAAAUAAAAUAAUGAAACAGUUUUA